UGCAAUACAGCACUGAGGAAGACUCCAGUUGGAGUUGAAACUCCAACUGGAGUCUUCCUCAGUGCUGUAUUGCAC
rnacentral:miRNA from 1 species